rnacentral:rRNA from 1 species
GAUGAACGCUAGCGGCAGGCCUAACACAUGCAAGUCGAGGGGGAAGUUACUUUCGGGUGACUGAGACCGGCGUACGGGUGCGUAACGCGUAUACAAUCUGCCUUUCACUGGGGGAUAGCCCGAAGAAAUUUGGAUUAAUACCCCAUAGUAUAUAGGGACGGCAUCGUUUUUAUAUUAAAGCUUAGGUGGUGAAAGAUGAGUAUGCGUUCUAUUAGCUAGUUGGAGAGGUAACGGCUCCCCAAGGCGAUGAUAGAUAGGGGUUCUGAGAGGGAUGUCCCCCACACUGGUACUGAGAUACGGACCAGACUCCUACGGGAGGCAGCAGUGAGGAAUAUUGGACAAUGGUCGGAAGACUGAUCCAGCCAUGCCGCGUGCAGGAUGAAGGUCUUAGGGAUUGUAAACUGCUUUUGUAAGGGAAGAAUAAGGGCUACGCGUAGUUUGAUGACGGUACCUGACGAAUAAGCAUCGGCUAACUCCGUG